GCCCCGAGACUCGAACUUUCGAGAGCGCCGUGUGCACGAGCGGUCAGCCACACGGGUGGGCAUGCUGUAUCACACCCCUAAGCAGGGCAUCCAGAGGCGAGCACAGCUUACGUGGUAGACGGAAAAGGCGCAAAGAGAUGCAUACGAACAAACGCCACAGCGUAUGCGUGCGACAUGCACGGCACCUCCUCCAUCCCACCGGGUGAGCUGAUGAGGCACAGAGGCGGGAAGCAUGACGAGAGCACCCUGAGAUACGCCAUCGAGCCCUCCGGGCACCCAUGCGGAGCGUCUCCACGUCAUGCUAUUGGAUGCCGCUGCUUGAAGCCACUGAGGACGAGGCACGGCACACAGGAAAGAGUGCGCAGAGGGUCUCCGAGCGCCCUGGCCCGAGGUUGGCCAACCUCCUCCCUGAGGACAUCCGGCACGCGCCUAGGCCAGCCCCUGUUACCCGCACAGCAGACGCCACCGCCUCCGCCCUUGGCCAGAGCACUUGGCUGCGGCCCGCUUGAAUCAAGGCAUGCAGUUCACCCGGGCCUCCUUCUAGCGUCGACAGCGUAGCGCUUACCCCAGGAAUGGACGAGGAGGAACAGGGAGAGCCGGUAAGACGCAUGGCCCGAUUCCACGGCAGCACGGCUCAUCCUAGGCAACGAGGCCUCUGCUGCACUGCGGCAGAGGAAGGUGCGCUGUGGCUGUGUGUAUGCGCAUGCGGCUGGAGCUGUUCGUGGUGGCAUGAUCACACUGCAAUCUAACAAGAAUGGAAUGCAUCUCACCCUCUCUCCCUCCCUUGUUUUCAUCUUUUUCAUUCUCUCUGUGUUCUUCGCGCUUCCUCUAG
rnacentral:misc_RNA from 1 species